AAUUUCAUACUUGUGUAGUAAGAUUACCCCCGAAAAAUAAAAUGACGAAGCAAUACCAUCCGUUGACUAAAUAUUACAACAUAAUACACCACAUUCAUUUGUUUAGCUUCAUUAGUCCAAUUGCAUUUUUAGCUUGCUUCUAUGAGAAUGAGAAAGAUAAAAACAAUCAGAUAAAUCGUGUUCAUGUUGGUAGUCCCACUAAUACAAAAUAUUGGAUAAAAUUUGGACAGUUGCAGUUGACAACAAAUACUUCAUCUUAUAUCCACCUAAAGAAAAGAAAAUCAAGCAUUAGUAUUAUUGGUAAGACUUACAUAUGGUAGUAUAACAAUCAUAAAAUUCAGCUAGUUUGCAUAUUCAGCAAAACAAUCAUAAAUUCAUUAAUUUUGGAGGAAAAAGAGGGGCAUAAAAUAUCAGCAUGGACUAAGAGGAGAAAGAAAAGAUUCAGACACGGUAGACCUAUUGAAAUGCCCCCAUCAAAGGCAUGUUCUAAAUCUGAAUUGGGUCUCUUCUUUUUAGCAAUCUAUAGCUAGGCAUUAAAUAAUGAUUUACAACCUUGGAGGACCUAUUUAGGGAUAUGAACCUUUAACCUAUUUCAUUGGAGGAGACUAUCUUCAUUGAUUUUGGUAUUGAUGUAAUAACUGAAAAGUGAUACACACCAAAUUUAAAAUAGAAAAUCUGCAAUAGAAGCACUACCAGUAAAUCACAAUUCACAACCAUACUCGCAUAUUCUGUGACUUAGGAGAGAUCAUGUAGUGGUAUUUCUAUUUCAAUCACCUGACCCUACUCUAUUCAUGAGAACAACUGCUAUCUAUGUUGAAUGAAUGCGUCCAGGUUACUACAAAAAUUUCUAGACAAAUUCUAACUUCUGCAAAUACUACUUCAAUUGCCUUAUUUCUAUUAUAUACUUACAAGCAACGACCAUCUCAUCAUGACCAUCUAUCGAAGAGAUGCACCAAAAAGAUCUGAAAAACAUAAAGCAGAUAAACGAACCUUCAAAAUAUAAGUUUUGAGUAGUAUUUAAACACAUGUUAAAGGAUACAAUGAAAAGAAGCAUAUUGCCAACGACAAGUCUGUUUUUUCAUUUCCUUGCAAAACUUACUAAUGACAAACUAAGUGAAUGUGUGGGCUAAAGAUGUUGCAACCUGAUCAUUCUAGAUAUGUCCAUGUUAUUGUCCUUGGUGGGGCUUCAGUGAGAGUUCAUCAUUUAUAAUUUGCUGCUUUUGAGGCUAGUGAAAAAUAUUCAACAUGUUGUGCGAGAGAUUUGGAAACAACAGUUAUCACUUAUCACAUGCCAUCAGUUCUUGCUCGAUCCUUAUCUAUAUGAAAUAAAGCGUGCGUCUAUACCGAUAAGUAGAUAUUGAUUGAUCUCAACUAAUCAAGGGGAAAAUGUUUGAUAUUUUGGUCAAUUCAAAAUAUCAUAAUAAAAAUACCCCCGUACCCUGACAACUUAAAAAAAGUGAAAAGAAGAAAGGAAUGUUGAGGCUAGGAAUGAAGUGCAAAGAGAAAACUGGAGAAAUAAAACUCACAUGCAGACAUCCACUAAUCAAACAAAUCAAAUGCUCAAAAAACAAAAUCAGAGAACAUAGCUUACCAAUUAAUACAAUCGCAGCACACCAGAUUGAUCGGCAAAGGACUGUCAAUCCAACUAAAGAAGAUACUAUCAUGUGACAGAAGCAUUAUUCAAAGUUCAAACUUGCCGCAAUUAUUACUCCCACCGUUCCAGUUUAUGUAAACCUAGCUAUUUCCUUUUUGGUCCGUUCCAAAAAGAAUGACCCCUUUCUAAAUUUGGAAACAAUUUAGCUUAAACUUCCAAUUCUACCCUUAAUGAGAAGCUUUUAUAACCACACAAAUACUCUGGUCCCCAUUUUGACUUGUUUAGGACCACAAAUUCUAAAAAAGUCAUCAUUUUUUCUUAAACUCCGUGAUCAGUCAAACAUGUUCACAUAAAUUGGAACAGAGGGAGUAUUAUUGAAAAAAAUGGAAGGGAAGGAAAAGAUAAAGCUGUAAUUUUGAUUACUUUUGCUCCACGCGUAUAGUAGUCACCGGAACAUCUAUGUACAAGAUAAAAAGUCAUAAGCAAGCUGCGGUAAGGACUUUAUUUUCCUGCAAAACAAUUGUUGAUGUAUAGAAAAACAUGUUACUAAUUUAUAUGAGGGAAUCAAUUAGGAUAUUUGCGAACGAACAUUUAAACUUGUUGCUAAAUUUUUAUGUUUGAGUAGCUUAGUAACUUUUAUUCUCUGUGUAAAAGCAUAGGAGUUAGCAGGACUUCAGAAUAUGCAAGCAUUUGAACUAUCUCGGAGGAGUUGAUUGAAAUAUUUCAAGAAUUUCUCAAGGAUUAAUCUUCAUUUCCUGCACAUACUCUAGUCCCUCUCGAGAUAGUAAUUCUGGGGUUUUCACAUUAUAAAAUGACAUAAAGAUGAUCUCCGAAUGAUCUUCUUAGCUGCUACUUGAUUUUCAAAUGUAUCAACCAAAUCAGACAACCCAAUGAAUGAAAGCUCUUAAUCUUCAUUAUACUCCAGCAUAGAGCGAUAAUGUCUCAAAUUCUAGAGUAAUCUUAAUAUCUCGUUCUGAACACUUAUGUCAUUUGAGUAUCAAAUAAAUCUCAGUUGUAACCUAAAAGCAACAACCAUAAAUUCCAGCUUUGUUUCUUUGAUACUAUGUUGUAGAUUAGUUUUAUGGAGUUACAACCAACAAAUCAGAAGUAGAAAGAUUCAAAAAAUGACGAAGAAACAAUAAUAAUUCAACGAUGAUAGAUAAACAAAAUUGAUUGUCCUUGUAAUAUUGCAUAGAUCAGAGAGCUAUUGUUGAAAUGUGAGACCCGUUUGGCCAUAGAUCACUUUUGACACGGAACCAACCCCCAGAGGAAACAGAGGGACAACAACACAAAACUGCAGCACAUCCCUAUUUUUAUUUCUAAAGCAAGAAAGAACAACGACACUGCCACUCUUCAAUUAAUUUCUAAAUCAAUUCCCAAAUAGAAUUUCAGUGCACCUUUAUCAUCUCUCAACGCAAUUCUAAUGUGCAAAGUCGCCCAAACCUGUAGAAGUAAGAGGUUCUUACUCCCAUGUAGUCUAAAUACUUUUUUUCUUACUAUUUUCUUCAAUCCUUUAUCUUCUUUUUUAUAACAAGAAUAAGUACAACUAUAGAUUUGUUGCCUAACAUAAACUUUUCCUAAGCAUUCAUCCCACAAAUCAAAGUAGGCAAAUAACUUUAAGCUUUUCCUAAUCAUGUAUAUUCCAAUCAAUCAACCUCCAUUCCAUACAUCAUCCUAUUUCUUUGGAUGCUGUCAUAGCCAAAAAGAAGUGACAAAAUAAGACGGUAAACUUUCCUCUUCCAUUGUUAUCUUCGAGAAAUAGAGUAAGACAGUGGACACAUAGAAGGUUUGAAGAUGAAAUUUCAUAAAGAUACCCCACGCCCUAGAUCACUUUCAGCAUUCUAAAGAUGCCAAGUGAAUGUAGAAAUUUGAAAGUUCUAAAAGAUGGAUAUAUAUUCUUUGUUCCGAGUUGGCGAUUUUGGUGUUAUAGAUGUAGUUUAUUGUAAGGUCUGUAAUGUUAUUUGAAAAGUGUUCAUGACGGCUAGUAAGAUGAUAAAGCCCAUAAUACUGUAUGUAAUACCCGAAAGAAUUGUACUCUAGCUAGUUUGUUGAACAUACCAUCACAAUCUCGGUGUUGUUUGUAAUUAGAAAAUUUACCUUUUUAAUCAAAAGCAAUAUAAGGAGAAAAUAUGGUCAAAGUAUAGAAUCAGAUAUGCUGAGCACAUUUUUCCUGAAAUAAAAAGAACUCAAUUUAGUAAAAAUUUUGAUUCAUAUCUUCUCAAGCUCAACCUGAGACUAUACUUUCCUAAAGUCGGAAUAGGAUCGUUCUCCACUUCACGAGAUUUUAAAAAGAACAACUUAAUUUUGUAAAUACUUCAUUAAUCAUUUUUCCCAAAUAAAGUUUUUAAACAUAUAAAAUCUCUAUAAGAAGACAAAAGUGAAAGAACACAAGUAUUUUUCUUGGCUGUACAUUAAAAAUAAAAAGAAUGCAUUUGAAACAUUAGUUUGCUAAUUUCAGUACUGUUGAAGAAGCCUUGUAAAACAUUAAAUUCGGAUAGCCUAACAUACAAUUAUUUCUUGUUAGCUAAGAAGUCCUUUAAAGUAUGCAUCAACUACCGUCAACAGUCAGAUAAAUAUUACUUCUCAUUUAAUUCUAUCCUCUCAUGUCUACAGCAGUUUAGAAAAUCCACAAAAUUGUUUAGAUCCUGGGGCCAUCUUACAAUUACACCAAGAAUACACAAACUGCAAUGACUUGAAUUGAAUACAUGCUAAGGCCCAAUAAGUAUUUUGAAAAAAACUAUAGUUUCUUUCCACAUUGUGCAAAAAAAGCACGAAGGAACUUAUUACUGGAUGUCUUUGUGAAUGUAAUAGAAAAUCUCAUGAAUUAAGCAUAAAAAACCUUUUGUUCUUGGGGAUAAUUGCAUUUUUAAUGAGUUACUAAUAUUGAAAAGGGGAAGUAAGUAAAAGUAAACCAAAAUGUGCAGAACUUACCUGGUACAAGUGAAGCAAUAUUCCUUUCCCCACUUUCAGUUAACAACUUCCUUUAAGAAAAAUCUGAAAAAUCAAUAUUUUGGGACCAUUAUAUUCCUACUAAAUGAAUACAAAAAUAUUCGGUAAUAUCAAAAGUUCAUAUUUCAAACAAAACCCAAGUAAGCGAUACACUAUUCAGUUUAAUAGAGUCUCGUCAAAAAAUAAUAAAAUAGGAGUAAUAAUUUUGAAAAAGAAGAAGAUAAACCCAAUUAAAGAACAUUGUGUGAGAAAAAUAUUGUGCAUGAGUAAAUCAAACAUAUCUACUGACAUGUAUGUAUAACAUUCAAUAAAAUACUGCCCAAAAGUUCAAGAUGCCCAAAAAAUUAUAUUAAAAACAGGAUCCAAACACAUGCAUAGCCGAGAAAACAGAGGAAGAUGCAAAGAAGGUGUCCAAUUCCCUGCUUCUUAGUAGGAGAAACUGAUAGAUAAGUCACCAAAGAAACCCCAAAUUUUCCAUCUUUCAAUUUUCUUUUUCAAACUUUCAGUUCAUACACUUUGAAAACCUAAAUAGACACAAUUCAAUAAUGUAGCCACAUAAGACUCACCAAUCCUUGUAACAUUAAAAAAAUUAGAAAUGGUAAAAGAUAAAAGAUAAAAGAUAUUCUCCAUCUUCAUAAUAGCCAAAGGUAACACAUAAAUAUUAAAAAAAUGAACCCAGAUGGGACUAAAUCUAAAAACUGAGCAAAAUAUUAACAGGGGGAAGAAGAAAAAGGCAUCAGCAAGAGAAAGAGUCG
rnacentral:lncRNA from 1 species